rnacentral:rRNA from 1 species
CAGCCGUAAACUAUGCGCGUUAGGUGUAUCGGUGACCACGAGUCACCGAGGUGCCGAAGGGAAACCGUGAAACGUGCCGCCUGGGAAGUACGGUCGCAAGGCUGUAACUUAAAGGAAUUGGCGGGGGAGCACCACAACGGGUGGAGCCUGCGGUUUAAUUGGACUCAACGCCGGACAACUCACCGGGAACGACAGCAAUAUGUAGGCCAGGCUGAAGACCUUGCCUGAAUCGCUGAGAGGAGGUGCAUAGGCGUAGACGUCU